rnacentral:rRNA from 1 species
GGUCGCCUACGGGGCGCAGCAGUCGGGAAUAUUGCACAAUGGAGGAAACUCUGAUGCAGUGACGCCGCGUGCAGGAAGAAGGUUUUCGGAUUGUAAACUGCUUUAGAUAGGGAAGAUAAAAGACUGUACCUAUAGAAUAAGCUCCGGCUAACUACGUGCCAGCAGCCGCGGUAAUACGUAGGGAGCAAGCGUUAUCCGGAUUUAUUGGGUUUAAAGGGUGCGUAGGCGGUCCGUUAAGUCAGCGGUGAAAUUGCGGGGCUCAACCCCGUCGAGCCGUUGAAACUGGCAGACUUGAGUUGGCGAGA